UCAUGCCUACGGAGCGCAGCAGUGAGGAAUAUUGGUCAAUGGGCUUACGCCUGAACCAGCCACGUCGCGUGAGGGAAGACGGCCCUAUGGGUUGUAAACCUCUUUUGUCGGAGAACAAAACCCGGGACGUGUCCCGGACUGCGUGUAUCCGAAGAAAAAGCAUCGGCUAACUACGUGCCAGCAGCCGCGGUAAUACGUAGGUGGCGAGCGUUAUCCGGAAUGAUUGGGCGUAAAGGGUGCGUAGGCGGCCUGCUAAGUCUGGAGUGAAAGGUACCGGCUCAACCGGUACAGGCUCUGGAAACUGG
rnacentral:rRNA from 1 species